CGCAUGCGCGCGGGAGAGUCACUCGGCGAAUCAAACAUUUGGUGACUGUGUCGUUCGCAAUGGCGCAUUACACAGUUAUGCAGAAGAUGCCGAGAGUCUGCGGCUCGAGCUGAACACUUUACAGCAGAAAUAUGAUCAGCUGAUGGAGGAGAACAAAGAGCUGAGGAGCCGGCUGCUGCAGGGCGGCGGAACAGAAUAACUACACACCACUUCAGUUUCACACAUUUCUUCACAUCAGUGGAAGUCUUUCAGUUCGUUUUGUAAUACAUGUAUA